rnacentral:rRNA from 1 species
UACAGAGGGUGCGAGCGUUAAUCGGAAUUACUGGGCGUAAAGCGUGCGUAGACGGUUACAUAAGUCGGGUGUGAAAGCCCCGGGCUCAACCUGGGAAUUGCAUUCGAGACUGCGUGGCUAGAGUACUGGAGAGGAUGGUGGAACUCUCGGUGUAGAGGUGAAAUUCGUAGAUAUCGGGAGGAACACCAGUGGCGAAAGCGGCUUCCUGGUCCAGCACCGACAUUCAGGCACGAAAGCGUGGGGAGCAAACAGG